UACGUAGGGUGCGAGCGUUGUCCGGAAUUAUUGGGCGUAAGGAGCUCGUAGGCGGUUUUGUCGCGUCUACUGUGAAAACUGGAGGCUCAACCUCCAGCCUGCAGUGGGUACGGGCAAACUAGAGUGCGGUAGGGGAGAUUGGAAUUCCUGGUGUAGCGGUGGAAUGCGCAGAUAUCAGGAGGAACACCGAUGGCGAAGGCAGAUCUCUGGGCCGUAACUGACGCUGAGGAGCGAAAGCGUGGGGAGCGAACAGG
rnacentral:rRNA from 1 species